rnacentral:lncRNA from 1 species
AGAAUGUUUUUCCAAUCGUUACUAUAAGCAGUGUUCUGCCAACGUACUCUCUGCAUUUCAUUCAACUCUUCUUUUGAAAAAGGUAUCAUUAUGAAUUUCAGGGAGAGGACACUCCGCCUGGAUCCGCGCCGCCUGUGUUCACACCACCGGAUGUCCCGUCAUUCUUGCUCGCUCCGCAAACCAUGGUUACCCAACCGACGCCCAUCCACGAAUUUCCGGAGCCACCUGCAGGCGGAUCUAAGGAAGGGGCGCCAGGAGGAGAAGAGUCCGAGGGCUUCGCGAUGGAGCUGACACGGGGUCAGCAGGAUCAAUACGAUUCGCAGUUCGACGAGGAUUAUGAUGGAGAGUCCGGGCCCCCUCCCAGUAUGCCACCGCCAAGUAUGCCACCACCAAGUAUGCCACCACCUAGUAUGCCACCACCCCCACCGGUCCAGAUAGCUGUCGUUACCGAUGAUGAAUGUGACGAUAGCAGCAAAGCAAUAGAGGAGCCGGCGGAGGUCGCGCCAGCGGAGGCGGCGCCGAAGAAGUCCAAGACGAGACAAAGCACGAGCAGCGCGGACAGCGGUGGAGGUCUAGGCGUGGCGCAGAUCGUCAUCACAGCCGCGACGCCGAUGAUGGAGGAGGCGGGGACGCCUUUCCCGCCUCCGCCUCCUUCGCCGCCCGCCCAACCGCCGCCUCCACCCCCGCCCACCGCCGCCGCCACCCCUUCGCCCACCCGGGAGGAGGGCGACGAGGAACUCGAAAACGCCGCCGCCAAGGAGGGACUCGACGAACCCCCCGCCGAAGGUAUUACCCGAGAGCCAACUCCGUUUCCACUGAGCAGUAGCACGGGGAGCGAGGAGGACACAGGGCCGAGCACAGCGGAGAAUUCUCAAACCUACCCAGCACCUACGACCCAAGCACAGCCGCAACUCAAAGCGGUGCCCACUUCCUUUCAGUCAGGAGAGAUCCCAGAUGAGUUGGAGCCCCAUCAACUGGCCCAACUCCAAGACUUGAAAGAGUCCAACGCAUAA